rnacentral:rRNA from 1 species
CUACGGGUGGCUGCAGUGAGGAAUCUUGCGCAAUGGGGGAAACCCUGACGCAGCAACGCCGCGUGAGUGAAGAAGGCCCUUGGGUCGUAAAGCUCUGUCAAUGGGGAAGAAGUUAUUAUGUGUUAAUAGCACAUUUUAUUGACGGUACCCAUGAAGGAAGCACCGGCUAACUCCGUGCCAGCAGCCGCGGUAAUACGGGGGGUGCAAGCGUUAUUCGGAAUUAUUGGGCGUAAAGGGCACGCAGGCGGUCCUGUCAGUCAGAUGUGAAAGCCCGGGGCUCAACCCCGGACGUGCAUUUGAAACAGCAGGACUUGAGUACGGGAGAGGAAAGGGGAAUUCCUGGUGUAGAGGUGAAAUUCGUAGAUAUCAGGAGGAACACCGGUGGCGAAGGCGCCUUUCUGGACCGAUACUGACGCUGAGGUGCGAAGGCGUGGGUAGCGAACGGGAUUAGAUACCCGCGUAGUC